rnacentral:sRNA from 1 species
CUACGCGCCGAGUGGCCAUAGAGUUGGCA